rnacentral:rRNA from 1 species
UCGUCAGCUCGUGUCGUGAGAUGUUGGGUUAAGUCCCGCAACGAGCGCAACCCUUGCCUUUAGUUGCCAGCAUUAAGUUGGGCACUCUAGAGGGACUGCCGAGGAUAACUCGGAGGAAGGUGGGGAUGACGUCAAAUCAUCAUGCCCCUUAUGCUUAGGGCUACACACGUGCUACAAUGGGUGGUACAGAGGGUUGCCAAACCGUGAGGUGGAGCUAAUCCCUUAAAGCCAUUCUCAGUUCGGAUUGUAGGCUGAAACUCGCCUACAUGAAGCUGGAGUUACUAGUAAUCGCAGAUCAGAAUGCUGCGGUGAAUGCGUUCCCGGGUCUUGUACACACCGCCCGUCACACCAUGGGAGUUGGGGGCGCCCGAAGCCGGUUAGCUAACCUUUUAGGAGGCAACCGUCGAACGCGCUGCAUUAACAACGAAUGACUGGGGUGAAGUCGUAACAAGGUAGCCGUA